GUUCUUAUAGUUGAAUGACAACGGUGGUUUUUCAAGCCAUUGGUCCUGGUGAGAGUCCUGGUAAGAAUU
rnacentral:tRNA from 1 species